UAAAUACAGGAUCAAAACUGUAUCGUAUGCCCUUAAAACAAUCUUUACCCUUAAAUGCUCACAAGCAUUUCAAUUACAUCUAAAUACUAUAGCUUGUAUUUUUAAGGAGUUUUAUUGAAGCUUACUGUCUGAUAUAGUAAUGAGCAGUUCCAUUUUAAUUUUACAUGUUACAUAUAUUUUUUAUUAGGUUUUUAUCAUAAUUUUUAUUUGAUAUUUUGUGUUAUAGAAUUGGCAGCUCAUUUUGUAUUACCCAUGAUGUUUUCAAGGCAAAAGGGGCUCAAGUUAAUAAUGCACAUUUACAGGUUUCUUAAAAUGAAAUCCAGCUUCUUAAUGUUAAUGUGUCGUAUGUCAAAUAGUAAUCCUAUAUCCACAAUCACAUUUAUUUACUCACUUUUUUAGUCCAUGAAAGGAAAUGUGAGGGGCAAAUUGUUUAAUCAUUUAGUCCAUCCCUUGAUGAAAAGGAGUCUACAAAAUUUUAUUUUCAUUUUUCAUUUAUCUUGUUUUCAAAACAAAACUGAUGUUAGUAAUGUAAACAAAAUUCUUUGCAAAAUUCUGAUCUUAAAUAAUUAACAAAUAGCUUCUGAAUGCUAGUUUAAAUCAUCCAG
rnacentral:lncRNA from 1 species